CUGCAGCCCGGCUUGAGCGGAAAUCCUUUUUUGCGUGAACUCGGGUUCUAUUGAAAAGGAAAUCGUCUGCAAAAAAGAUUGGGAGCGGAAGACGGAAAUAGC
rnacentral:sRNA from 1 species